CUGAACUAAAAUAGUUGUUAUUAAACAUUUUUCCAAGACUGGUAACUUAUGAUGCUCUCUAUACCCAUAUUCUGGCUCUCAUCUCCAGAACACUUGAAAGGGGCUGAGGACAGGAAAAGUGACAUGAAAGAACCACAUAGCUGGCUUUCCAAAAGGAUCCAGAUACAAUGAAGUAGAGAAAAUUCGGCAGGGAACUCACCAUGGACAGAGAAGACUGCACUCUCACGGAGCGCACGCAUUCCCUAAAAACUGCAAUUGGAAGAGUAGAAGUAACAGAAGGAAACACAGAAAGGAACACAUUCCAAGAUGUGCUAGAAUCAUGGGCCCCAGCCUCUGUCUUCAGCUCUUUUCAUAUUCAGAACAGUCUAGAUCCUUGACACCUAUGUAAGGUUAUGCAUCAACUGCCCAGUGAAGCAGGCACCAAUAGAACAGCUGCCUGGGACUGGAUUCUCUCCAACACCCAGGCCCACACAGCCCAGAGCCGAAAAACUGGGGCUGCCACUUGGAUAGUGAGCCCCUCACAGUCUCUCCUGUUGGAAAAGAAAGAGCUCUUGCACUUAGAUGCAUAGAAACCCAGGCCUGGGAAGGGAAGAGAAAAAGAAGACUGAGCCAGCAGGUGAGAAACAAAAGUGAAGGCAGAGGUUUCUGGAGCAAGGUUUCUUCCCCAGACAAAUAAUUGCCAGCAGGCUGCCUGCAGUGAGUCACGUCCUUUGUCCAAGUCACAGACCCAGAAAGUUCAGAUUGUCCAAGUCCUUUAUCCAAGUCACAGCCCCUUACGUUCUUUGUCCAAGUCUUCCUGCUGCUCCCCAAACCUCCACCUUCUAUGCCAUUUGCUGCCUAAGGGAAAAACAUCUCUCCAUUUUCAACAGCACGAAUUCAGCACCCAUGGGCAUGUCUGGAAGGGGCAGCCAUGUGGAGCUGGCAUCCAGCUCCAUCAACAGCAUGAUAAGGGAAGACAGGCAUGGAGCUACCCUGGAGGCCCCUGAGAGAGCAAGGUUAUAACAGGCAAAGUGUGAGGUUAUAAGAGCAAAAUGUAAGAUCUGCACACAACCUCUUACCUCUUAAAGUCCUCAUGCCCAUUGUCUCCAUUUAUUUAAGGGGUAAGCCUACAGACUGAGAUAGAUGGGGAUCAUUUCAUCCACUUUUCAGAUGUGUAACUCUCUGCAGCAGGGUCAGGAUCACGGGUUCUGGCUCUUGAUUCUUGACUUUUUCUAUGUUACUUGGUAUCAGCUGAGGGCCCGAGGAACUGGAGUGAAUGUGUAAGGAAAGUUGAGGCAGCUACUCCUUGGGGCUCAGGAUAGGUCCCUGCUGCCUUGACUGGAUUACGUGGAGUGCACUCCCGAGGUGGAGGUGGACCUGAAGACCUCUGAAAACUCUGAUUUCUGCCGCUGAGGCAAAGCUGUAAGAAGAAAGUGGGGUGGGGUACAGGCUGGCAGCAGUUUGGUUAAGCCUCCAAGAAAAGCCACUGGAGCUGGCCUUGUGGACAAGGCCCCAGGCCCUGCAGUACUGGCAGUCCAAGCCAUUAGUUUGGUUUUCUUUACAUCUUCGAGUAGGGAGCAACUUAUUUUGAUCUAUUUUUAAAAUUCAAUUUAAUUUUUUCAUUGACAAAUCAUAACUGUACAUAUUCAUAGGGAAUAUAGUAAUAUUUGAAUACAUAGGAUGUAUAGUGAUCAGGUCAGGAUAAUUAGUACAUCCAUUAACUCAAACAGUUGUCAUUGCUUUGUGUUGGGAACAUUCAAUAUCUUCCAUCUAUUUAUUUGAAACUGUAUAGUAUAUUAUUGUUUACUGCAGUCAUCCUACAGUGCAAUAUAUAGAACCCUAGACCUUAUUAUAAAGAGAAAAGUUCAUGGUUGUGUCGGACCCACAGCACACAUGAGUAAAGGGACCUGGACCACGCUGGGAGCAGGGGUCAUGUCCACUCUGCAGAGCCGCCCCACCCCAGAGCAGGACCCCAGGCCCUGAGUGCCCGCAAUUAGGAGCCUUGGCCUCAGGACAGUUCAGAUCUCUGGUCUGAGAACAUCCCCCACUGCAUCUUCUGCUCAGAGCAGCCAGUAAUGGUGGAUAAGGUCAAGGGAGAAAAUAUAUUGGCUCCUCCAAACCCUAAAAUACUCCUGCCUCAAGCAAGGUUUUUCAGGGGCUCCCUACAGUCUCUCUGCUGCCACUGCCUAAGCACAGGGCAUUCUUGAUUGUCUCAGGCAAAGCCCUCACUCCCCUAGCCCUUUCUGAGACU
rnacentral:lncRNA from 1 species